rnacentral:rRNA from 1 species
CAAGUCGAACGCGAAAGCCCCGCAAGGGGUAAGUAGAGUGGCAAACGGGUGAGUAACACGUGGGUGACCUACCUUCGAGUGGGGGAUAACGUCCCGAAAGGGACGCUAAUACCGCAUGACAUCCUGCGUUUGGAAACGCGGAGAUCAAAGCCGGGGAUCGCAAGACCUGGCGCUUGAAGAGGGGCCCGCGCCUGAUUAGCUAGUUGGUGGGGUAACGGCUCACCAAGGCAACGAUCAGUAUCCGGCCUGAGAGGGCGGACGGACACACUGGGACUGAGACACGGCCCAGACUCCUACGGGAGGCAGCAGUGGGGAAUUGUUCGCAAUGGGCGCAAGCCUGACGACGCAACGCCGCGUGGAGGACGAAGAUCUUCGGGUCGUAAACUCCUGUCGAGCGGAAAGAACGCUUCCCGGGUGAAUAAUCCGGGGAAUUGACGGUACCGCUAAAGGAAGCCCCGGCUAACUCCGUGCCAGCAGCCGCGGUAAUACGGGGGGGGCAAGCGUUGUUCGGAAUUACUGGGCGUAAAGGGCUCGUAGGCGGCCAACUAAGUCGGAUGUGAAAUCCCCAGGCUUAACCUGGGAACUGCAUCCGAUACUGGAUGGCUUGAAUCCGGGAGAGGGAUGCAGAAUUCCAGGUGUAGCGGUGAAAUGCGUAGAUAUCUGGAGGAAUACCGGUGGCGAAGGCGGCAUCCUGGACCGGCAUUGACGCUGAUGAGCGAAAGCUAGGGGAGCAAACGGGAUUAGAUACCCCGGUAGUCCUAGCCCUAAACGAUGAAUGCUUGGUGUGGCGGGUAUCGAUCCCUGCCGUGCCGAAGCUAACGCAUUAAGCAUUCCGCCUGGGGAGUACGGUCGCAAGG